UCCCAGUCCACUUUUACCUCAUGGUACCAGC
rnacentral:piRNA from 1 species